rnacentral:lncRNA from 1 species
AUUAUUUUUAGGGUAUUGGGGGUGCUAUUUUUGGAAUAAAGAAGAGGAAAGCAGCUGAGGAAAAUAAAACUAAACAUCUGUCAUAUCUUUUAGUGGUUAUCAAAUGAAUGUCAUUUUUGAAGGACCAGUAAAUUUUGAGCCGGACCAGUAGAUCUAAAGUCCACUGGUCCGGCUGACCAGUACACUAAAAAGCUUAAAUUCGACCCCUGCUG